AUGGAUCCAAGGAAAGGUCAUGGUCAAACCAAACCACAACCAUUAAGUAUCAAGAAAAUAUUCAGCCAAGCAAAACUCCAUAAAAAUCCAACCAUAAGGCAACAAAAGAGUCAAGUAAAAACUUGUCCAAAUAUUCCCAAACAUCAUCAGACUGGGCCCUUAGGGCAUUAUUUGAGUAAACCAAUAAGAAAACAAUCUGGCCAAAGAAAACCGGAGGCAAAAGCAACCAAGCAGAAGAAAAGCAGGAAAGCAAAGAAUCCACCCUAUUAUUCAAGACCUCCCCACCCAGUCCCUCAAUUUCAUCUCCCUGGUCAACCAAUACCUAGACCAAAGGUGCCCUAUCCUAACCCACUUUAUAUUCAUCUGUAUAAACCCAUCCAACACCCUGCCUCACACAUACAUUGUGGAAAGCAACUAGGUAAAAAGCACCAACUUCACCCACACAGAACUUGUCAAAAGCCAGCACUGAAACCUAAACCUGGAUUUCAGCAGCAUCAUCCAGGGAUACUUCCUACCACACAACCUGGAAAGUUGACAACAAAUCUCAAUCCAAAAACUUCUAAACCUGUAUCCUCGGGACCAUUUUUAGUGACCACCAAAGCCUCUGCAGCCAUUUCAUCUGGAUCAACUAGCAGAAAGCCCACCACAAACUCACUGGCAUCUACCACCAAAUCUUCCUCAACUUCUAAUCCAACAACCACAGCCGCAAAAUCCACUGUUUCCACCAAACCUGUGGUUAAUACUCCCAAAUCCUCCACAACUGCAAAGUCAGCAGUUCCUACCAACAAAUCUUCCAGCACUAAUGAACCUUCUACAACUAUCACUACACCUACUACCACAACCAAAGUUAUCUCCUCCACCAAAUCCAUCGCGAACUCUACGCCUGCUGCCUUCACAAUCAAAUCCACUACAACUUUAAAACCUGUAAUUUUCACUACAAAAUUGACCACCUCUCCCAAGCCUGGGGCACCUACCACCAAACCUACUACCAUCAUUAACACUGUAGCUGACACCAGUUCAUCUGCCACUGUAUUACUCAAACCAACUGAAAUUCCUAGUUUCUCUUCCACUGGCCCUACUACUAUAAAACCUGCCCAAAUGACCAAAUCCGUGGUGAAAACCACUAAAUCCCUUCCUACUACCACCAAAGUCAACAAACCUACCAGCUCAAUAUCCAUCACCAGAAGAACUCCUGCUUCUAAUUUCUCAACAAUUGUGGCAGAAACUACAUCUCCUCUCACAAAAUCAGUUUCUCCAUCUUUAUUAACCACCACUCCACCUGCUACUACCACUGUUUCACCUGCCAGUACAGCCACACUGUCCUCGGUCCCUGCUACAACUCUGGCAGGAAGCACCUUAAGAGCCGCAAAUACUACAAAGAUGCCAGCCACAACCACAGUUUCUCUCUCGACAGCAUCACCAAGACACACGUCUGCUGCCACCACAGCUGCCCCUACUACAUCUGCUCCCAAAGCUACUUUGCCCCCUCUCACCACAAAGGGUGUUCCCAACAAAAGGAAAAAUGGUGCUUCAUCACAUGAAACUGUCAGAGGGAGAUCACACUGCUUACUUUGA
rnacentral:lncRNA from 1 species